CACGCCUCUGAGGGCAUCCCAUCAUAUCAUCUCGGCCACUGUGGGCAAAUCAUCAAUGUAUACCAGUUGAUUAGGUGAUGGUGCGUAUAUAACGUCGUAACCUUUUCUCAUAACCUAUAUACAUAUAUACGCGUAUAUAAUGUCAUCUGGUGCCAUGUGUGCAAAAUCAUCAACGUAUACUAGCUGAUCAGGUGGUGGUGCGUACAUAACGCCGUAACCUUUUUCCAUAUUCUAUAUACAUAUAUAUACAUAUAUACGCAUAUAUAGCGUCGUCUGAGUCAUGAGUAAAUGCACAUGUAAAUGAGUGCAAUGCAUGAGAAGUACGUUAAUAAAACUUCUCGGAACAUCAUAAGACCAUUAUACCUCUGACUAAUAUCGUAAAAUAAAUUUUUUUCAACUUACGUAUUUUUCUGAGACCUAUGAACAAACAAUAGAAUAAUAAGACUUAUGGGAAUUCAAAAACAUAGGCAUCUCAAAUACUUUUGUGAAUAGAGUCAUUUAUGGAAAUUGUGCGGUUGCUCGUUUCUUCUGUAUAAUUUGGAUCAUGCCAAAAGAAAGAAGGGAUAGCCUUAAUAUACCUGGAGGAAGGAACUAAUAUUAGCGGAGAUCUUUAAAAAGUAUUCACCCUCAUCUUGGCAAGGCACACGAAUCCUCUACUGCCAAGUAAUACAUAAUUAUCAACAAACAUAUGAGCAAAAUCACAAUAAUCAUUCACCUAUGUCAGAUUUGGGCUCAAAAAAGCAGCUCAAAAGGCAAUAGAAACAUCCAACUAGUUUUGCUAAAACAUAUGUCCUUUUUUGAUAACGUAAAGUAAGGAUUUAUGCUCCAGGUUCUAUCCUUCAUGCUUUUAAAGAAAACAAUCACCCGUAUUUUCCAUUAUCACGGAUUCUAGUCCUCGAAACUACAGCCAUAUUAUCACCUAAAUAAGUAGAAACAUUUUUAGGUCAGGACAAACAUUCAACAAGGAGAUUUAAGAAGUUUGUUCUUCUCCACAUCAUCCUAACGAGUAGGAGUUUUAGAAAACAUCUAACAAGGACACCAAAUUGAAAGAAAGAGAGGAAUGAUGUAGCAUACUGAAGAUCUAAUCAUUCAAUUACCUAAUACUAUUAAGACUUGAAAGAAAACAGGAAAUACCAUUUACUAGUACAUCAAAUUUGAUUCACCGUUUACAUUUCUGCUAUCUACCUACAAA
rnacentral:lncRNA from 1 species